rnacentral:rRNA from 1 species
AUGCGUAGGCGAUUUGGUAAGUCUUCCGUAAAAUCCCGUAGCUUAACUACGGUUCUGCGGAAGAGACUAUCAAAAUUGAGGAACCUAGAGGAAAAGAGAAUUCCUGGUGGAGCGGUGAAAUGCGUUGAUAUCAGGAGGAAUACCAAUUGCGAAGGCACUUUUCUGGGGGUUUCCUGACGCUAAGGCUCGAAAGCUAGGGUAGCAAAAC